AUAGUCCAAGUCUUGCCCAUUUUGAUUGGAUUUCUUUGAUAUUUUAUUUAUAGAACGUUUAUAUGUUCUCAGUGUGAGUCCUUUGUCAGAUAUAUAGGCUGAAAAUAUUUUUAUAGGCUAACCUGUUUAUUUCCUUAGUGGUGUAUUUUGUUUGAGAAAAUAUUUAUGAUAUGAUGUUAUCUACUUCAAAGAGAAAGAAAAAAAUGAAUGACAUUGGAUCAUACCCCAUUCCCAAGACAUGAUUUAGGAUGAAUAAUAAAGUUAAAAUAUAGAACAAAAAAGUUUCUGUAUAUAAAUAUAGGAGAAAAUCUCAGUGACCUCUGAAGUAGGCAGAAAUUUCUCAGAACCUUUCCCUCUACCUUUUUAAAAUUCUUCCCAAGUUAUUGAAUGAAGCAAAUCUGAUUCAUUCAUCUGAGCUCAUUUGUUAAUGUAGAAAGGAAGGUAUAAAAUGUGGCCUUUCAGAAAACACAAGGAGGAUACUUGGAUAAAUUCAAACUUAGGAGGAUUUAGUACAAAAGGUUGGGAAGAAAUUAUUUUUGAGCAGAAGACACCACCUCAUGUGCCUGUGUAAAAAACAAAAAACCUCAUAUUUGUGAUUUGUAUCUUCUUGUAUGAAUAGCUAUUUUGUAGUGACUAGUAUACUGUAGAUACCUGAGAGGACUAGUUUGCAUCCCUAUGAGUGAGAUUUCUUGGAAAGAGAGGUGAUUUCUUGGUGUCAAUCAUCAGGUAAGAGAAGGGUCAUUGGAGAAGAAAUAGGAAGCAUGAAGAAUGAGGAAUUUCCACUUUUAGAUUGGAAUAGACCAAGAAUUUAUCAAGAAUGAUAUGCACCUGGCACAAGGUUUUUUGUUCAACUCUUUGCAGCCUUUGGGAGGCACAAUUAAUGUAACCUGCACUCUUUCCCACUGAGUUCAGAGGUGGAUUCAAAAAUCUUAUUCAAUACAAUGACUCAAACAACUACUAUUCAUUUAUUAGACUGGGCACAUAAAGAAACAAUCAGGGGCAUUCCUCAUCUAAAUGCUUAGAAGAGAUACCCUAAUUGUACUUUUUUUAUUCUUUGUUGGCCACCCUGGGCCAGAGAUCAGACCUGAACAGCAAUUACAACCUACACAGCAGGUGCAACAACACCAGAUCCAAUAACCCAUUGUGCCAGUCUGGGGAUUAAAGGUGUGCCCUAGAGCUGCAGAGAUGCCACAGAUUCCAUUGCACCAUAGUCCAAACUCCUUAACUGGUACUUUUUAAAGUGGUAUUUGUUAGGUGAAGUCCAGCUGAGACUAGGAAGAAGGACACAUAGAGAAGAUUUUACUUUUUUUAAUAGGGUUUCAUAUAAAUGGUACACAGAUUUCAAGCUCAGAAAAACAGGUUAUAACAUGCAACGUCACAUUUUCCCCAUUUCUGAAAAUGUAUUUAUUGGCUUUUUGUUAUCACUUAGGUUUUUUUUUUAAUUUAGUGUUUUGACUCUUGCCAAUGAAAUAUCCAUUUCCCAACCCCAUUCUUUCUCCUUACAAACAGCUCUGAUUUUAUUCUAUAACCCAAUUUCUUUCAAUUUAUCUCCAGUCGUAAUUCAGGGGAGUCUCAGGGAUUAAGUCCUGAUCAGUCCAAGAAAACUAUGCUGAGUUCCAUUUUUAUCACCAAUGACCAUUGCAUAUAUAGGCAUGCGAGGCAGUGCUGGUCAAUGAGACACGUGACAAGUCUGGAGGCUUCUAGGAAAGACUACUUUGUUCUUUAAAAAGAGAAGAUGGGGAAGGUAGUCCUCUUCUUCCUCUGCACAUCCUCAUGCCUGAAAAUGACUUCUAAAAUCAGUGCAGUUAUCUUGUGACUCUAAGUGGCACCAGCCUUAAGAGGAUGAUGGAACCAAGAGAUUGAAACUUGAUUGUAUCAUUGAAUCCUUGAUCUGAUGGUGCUGGGGAUCUGUCUCCCUCUGGACUUCUUGAUAUAGUCCCAUAAAUUUAAAUCAAUUUGAGUAGAAAAUUUCCAUUAUUUAUUACUUAAGGCAUCCUAAUAUGCUUUUUUGUUGUUACUGAUUUUUUUUUCCAGUAGUUCCCCCAUUUUAACAGUUAAGCUAUGGGGAAUAUAUGAAAAAGGUUUGGCUCAUAUGUGAUCUGAGUUAAAGGGGAGUAGAACAGUUCCAUGUCCUGCUGUCCCCAUCCUCAAUUUGCCUGGAGAGAGUGCCAGUUUUGGAGAGUUUGAGUUUUAUUUUAAUUAAGGAAGAUAUUAUUUCUCCUCAGACCUUCAAAUCACACUAACGGGAUCAUUCUCUAGCAAGGAACCAUUCUGCUCAGUGACACUGGAGGGGAAAAAAAGAAAGCUACUUAGAUGCCCGCUGACUUGGUGGGUACUUACCCAGAAAAGGAGAGUCAGCUUCUUUGAACAAGGAGAAGAUUCCAAGAAGUCACUUCUGUAUCUGCCUUGCUUUCUAUUGUAGAAGUUGGGACAUGUUGAGGAGGCAAGAUGGCUUUGAUUUUAAACUGUCUUUUUUGAUGCUAAUCACUUAACGACAUUAUCUCCUUCUGGGCUGAGGUUUUGCACAUUCGGUCUCUGUCUUCUUUUUGGCUUAAUUAAUUGGAGCCAGAAUCCCUUUCCCAUCUGCCUUGUGUUAACCACUGGUUUUUCAGAACAAUCUCAUGGAGGUGGAACAAGAACAAAAAUGUGAUUCUUGGCUGCUGCUGAACUGGAAACUUAGCGGUAGAAGAAUCAGCUGGGUAGAGACCACCUCAUGAACAUCCAGAGGGCUCCGAUGGACUCCCCACACGGCUCUUUCCCUGCUAACCUCUGGCAUCACCACAAAUGAGGUGGCCACAACUGUACAUGUUUACACACACUAAGGUUAAUGUCCUCACAUACUAUCUUUGCUCUCAGCUGUUUUGUGUCUUCCACUCAACAUUUCACUUAUAAUAAUGACUUUCAUCUUUGAACACUGAGUGUGUGCCAGGCACGAUGCUACUACCUCUUUUGCAGAUGACCAGUCUUUCAGUCCUCACAUACAUCUUGUACAGCAGUGAUUGUAUGUAUUUUUUAUAUGAAGAAACUAAGCAAAGGAAUAAUCUGUCCACAGUCCCAUAUUGCACAAGUGGCAUAGCCUUGAUUUCAUCCUAGCCCUGACUCCUCAACUAGUUCUCUUAGGCAUGACACUUGUUUCCAUUUUGUUUGGCAUACCUCUCCCAAAUAUAUGUUUCUUGAGAGCAUAUACCCAAAAUUAGGUCAGACAGGGUAAAUGCACAAGUGCUCACUAAUCAUCUAUUGUUAUUAAUGAAGAAUAAUGUGACUGACUAACACAGGCGUAAGCAACUUUAUUGAUCCAGAAACAAGUUCUAGCUCAGGGACUCUUAUCUAUGAGGAAAUUAUCCUAAGUAUGGUACUUAACUCAGUUGUUUAAAAGACAUUCUCAAUCAAGCUAGGUCUAAAAUUUGGUUGCUGUAAUAGAUUUUUAGCCAACCUGCCUCAGACAAGAGGCUGACUCUAUUUGUGCCUCUGGCUGUUUAAAAGAACAUGAAUUGAUCAAUUGAAAUGUAUCACACUAUUAUAGUGUUUUAAAAAUAGAGAAACCUUGACCUCUAUUAUUGGCAAUUCAGUCACACUGUUUUUAUAUGUGUAUGUCAACAACAAGGUUCUCCAUUCUUGAUAGGCUGUAGGAUUUUCCUACAUGAUGAGCUUUUUGGUAGCAAGAACUGUGUCUGAUUUAUCUCAAUUCCUUCAAGAAUUGAAACAUUGACUGGCACAGAAAAUAUUCAACAAAUAUUUGUUCAGUUGAAGAAGGGUGGGGAGGCAUAAAUUAGGAGCUUGGAAUUUACACAUACAUAUUACUAUAUAUAAAAUAAAAAACAAGGACCUCCUAUAAAGCACAGGGAAUUAUCUAUCUUCAAUAUCUUGUAAUAACCUAUAAUGGAAAAGAAUCCAAAAAAGAACAGAUAUAUAAUUGAAUCACUUUGCUAUACACCUGAAACUAACACAACACUGUAAAUCAACAAUACUUCAAUAAAAAUAUAUAUUUGUUAAUGUGAAUUAAAAUACUUAUGUAAAUGGAAGGAAAAUACAUUUUAGUUCCACAUGAAAACAAAUUUAAGUAUAAAGGGGAUUUUAAUUGAAUAUUUUAAAAUGUAUUUUUGUGAUCCUGAUAUUAAGAGAAAACAGACGCUGGAAAGUCAGAGGGCCAGGUACUCAAGUCCCAUUUCUUCAUUAAGAAUUGUUUGAUUCUGGGAGUUUCCAUCGUGGCUCAAUGGAAAUGAAUCUGACUGGCAUCCAUGAGGUCGCAGGUUCAAUCCCUGGCUUCAUUCAGUAGGUUAAGGAUCCAGCAUUGCUGUGAGCUGUGGUAGAGGUCGCAGGCGCAGCUCGGAUCUGGCGUGGCUGUGGCUGUGGUUUAGGCUAGC
rnacentral:lncRNA from 1 species